CCUACGUGAGGCAGCAGUGGGGAAUAUUGGGCAAUGGGCGCAAGCCUGACCCAGCAACGCCGCGUGAAGGAAGAAUGCUUUCGGGUUGUAAACUUCUUUUCUGAGGGACGAAGAAAGUGACGGUACCUCAGGAAUAAGCCACGGCUAACUACGUGCCAGCGGCCGCGGUAAUACGUAGGUGGCAAUCGUUAUCCGGAUUUAUUGGGUGUAAAGGGCGUGUAGGCGGGAAAGGAAGUCAGAUGUGAAAACUCCGGGCUCAACCCUGAGCCUGCAUUUGAAACUGUUUUUCUUGAGUGCAGGAGAGGUAAGCGGAAUGCCGUGUGUAGCGGUGAAAUGCGUAGAUAUAAGGAGGAACACCAGUGGCGAAGGCGGAUUGCUGGACAGUAACUGACGCUGAGGCGCGAAAGUGUGGGGAGCAAACAGGAUUAGAUACCCGGGUAGUC
rnacentral:rRNA from 1 species